AUUGAACGCUGGCGGUAUGCCUUACACAUGCAAGUCGAACGGUAACAGGUCUUCGGAUGCUGACGAGUGGCGAACGGGUGAGUAAUACAUCGGAACGUGCCCGAGAGUGGGGGAUAACGAGGCGAAAGCUUUGCUAAUACCGCAUACGAUCUCAGGAUGAAAGCAGGGGACCGCAAGGCCUUGCGCUCACGGAGCGGCCGAUGGCAGAUUAGGUAGUUGGUGGGAUAAAAGCUUACCAAGCCGACGAUCUGUAGCUGGUCUGAGAGGACGACCAGCCACACUGGUACGGGGACACGGCCCAGACUCCUACGGGAGGCAGCAGUGGGGAAUUUUGGACAAUGGGCGCAAGCCUGAUCCAGCCAUGCCGCGUGCAGGAUGAAGGCCUUCGGGUUGUAAACUGCUUUUGUACGGAACGAAAAGACUCCUUCUAAUAAAGGGGGUCCAUGACGGUACCGUAAGAAUAAGCACCGGCUAACUACGUGCCAGCCGCCGCGGUAACAC
rnacentral:rRNA from 1 species